rnacentral:rRNA from 1 species
AGGGUUUAUGGUGGAUGCCUUGGAGCUGUAUGGCGAGGAAGGACGUGGCUAACUGCGAAAAGCCUCGGGGAGGAGUAAACAUCCUGUGAUCCGUGGAUAUCCGAAUGGGGUAACCCGGCUACCUUGAAUGGUAGUCAUCAUAUGCUGAAUAAAUAGGUAUAUGAAGCUAAACUUAGGGAACUGAACCAUCUAAGUACCUAAAGGAAAAGAAAUCAACCGAGAUUCCCCUAGUAGCGGCGAGCGAAAAGGGAAGAGCCUAAACUGAAAUUGUGUAAGGUCAGCACCGUUGCGAUUUCAGUGUUGCAAGUCAUUGUUGGAGAUGAUGCUGGACAUCUCGUACAGUCAUAAAAGUUUUUUGUAGUAGAAUAUUCUGGAAAGGAUAACCGAAGAAGGUGAUAGUCCUGUAUACGAAACAAAAGGCACUGUAUGGAUAAUGAACUUAAGUACGACGGGACACGAGUAAUCUUGUCGGAAUCAGGGGGGCCCACCCUCCAAGGCUAAAUACAAGACAGCUACCGAUAGCGAAUAGUACCGUGAGGGAAAGGUGAAAAGUACCCCGGAAGGGGAGUGAAAUAGAACCUGAAACCAUAAACCUACAAGUGGUCAAAGCCUGAAUACAGGUGAUGGCGUGCCUUUUGUAGAAUGAGCCUGCGAGUUAUCCUCUGUAGCGAGGUUAAGUGAUAGAAGUCACGGAGCCGAAGGGAAACCGAGUCUGAAUAGGGCGUCUAGUUGCAGGGGGUAGACCCGAAACCAAGUGAUCUAUCCAUGGUCAGGUUGAAGCUUGGGUAAGACCAAGUGGAGGACCGAACACUAGUCUGUUUAAAAAGGCAGUGAUGAACUGUGGAUCGGAGUGAAAGGCUAAUCAAACUUGGAGAUAGCUGGCACUCCCCGAAAUAGCUUUAGGGCUAGCCUCGUAUUGAUAAUAGCGGAGGUAGAGCACUGAAUGGGCUAGGGCCUGUCACAGGGUACCAAACUCAAUCAAACUCCGAAUGCCGUUAUUCAAUGUACGGGAGUCAGACUACGGGUGAUAAGAUUCGUGGUCAAGAGGGAAACAGCCCAGAUCGUCGUCUAAGGUCCCCAAACUAUGCUAAGUGGAAAAGGAAGUGCAAUGGCGAAGACAGCCAGGAGGUUGGCUUAGAAGCAGCCACUCCUUUAAAGAGUGCGUAAUAGCUCACUGGUCGAGUUGUAGUGCGCCUACAAUAUAACGGGGCUAAGCAUAGUACCGAAGACACGGCUCAGUAUUUAUACUGGGGGUAGGGGAGCAUUGUGUAGGCUGAUGAAGGUGAUCUGAGAGGAUUGCUGGAGGUAUCACAAGAGAGAAUGCAGGCAUGAGUAACGAAAAGAGAGGUGAGAUCCCUCUCCGCCGAAAGCCUAAGGUUUCCUAGGGUAAAGGUAAUCUGCCCAGGGUUAGUCGGCCCCUAAGACGAGGCUGAAAAGCGUAGUCGAUGGGAAACUGGUUAAUAUUCCAGUACCUCUAACAGUUUUGAGGGAAUGACGCAUGAGGUGAAGCGCUGCCAGGCGUUGGUUGUCCUGGUUUAAAUAACAAGCUUAAGAGAGCGAUAGGCAAAUCCGUCGUUUGAGGUGAGUUAUGAAGAUGAGUGGAACUACGGUGAAGCGAAAUGCGUGGAGUCAAGGUGCCAAGAAAUAAUUUCUAAAGUUAGGCUGUUAGGGACCGUACCGUAAACCGACACAGGUAGGCGGGAUGAGUAUUCUAAGGCGCUCGGGAGAAUUCACGUUAAGGAACUCGGCAAAAUGCAGACGUAACUUCGGGAGAAGUCUGACCUUUUUUGGAUGUUAAAGUUUGAGAGAGGUUGCAGUGAAAUGGCUAAAGCGACUGUUUACCAAAAACACAGGUCUCUGCGAAAUUGUAAAAUGACGUAUAGGGGCUGACACCUGCCCGGUGCCGGAAGGUUAAGAGGAGUUGUUCACGCAGCGAAUUGAAGCCCCGGUAAACGGCGGCCGUAACUAUAACGGUCCUAAGGUAGCGAAAUUCCUUGUCAGGUAAGUUCUGACCCGCACGAAUGGUGUAACGACUUUAGCGCUGUCUCAACGUGAAGCCCGGUGAAAUUAAAGUAUCGGUGAAGAUGCCGAUUACCCGUGGUUAGACGGAAAGACCCCGUGAACCUUUACUGUAGCUUGGCAUUGAAAAUUGUCAUAACAUGUGUAGGAUAGGUGGGAGACUUAGAACUCAGGCCGCUAGGUUUGAGGGAGUCGUUGGUGAAAUACCACCCUUGUUCUGUUAAUUUUCUAACGGGUUCCAUUAUCUGGAAUCUGGACAUUGUCAGGUGGGCAGUUUGACUGGGGCGGUCGCCUCCUAAAGAGUAACGGAGGCGCGCGAAGGUAACCUUAUCCUGGUUGGAAAUCAGGAGGCAAGUGUAAAGGCAAAAGGUUGCUUGACUGCGAGACAUACAGGUCGAGCAGGUACGAAAGUAGGUCUUAGUGAUCUGGCGGUGGUGAGUGGAAACGCCGUCACUUAACGGAUAAAAGGUACUCCGGGGAUAACAGGCUGAUUUUGCCCAAGAGUUCAUAUCGACGGCAAAGUUUGGCACCUCGAUGUCGGCUCAUCGCAUCCUGGGGCUGG